UAAGGAAUAUUGGUCAAUGGGCGGAAGCCUGAACCAGCCAUGCCGCGUGCAGGAAGACGGCCCUACGGGUUGUAAACUGCUUUUGUACCGGAAUAAACCUUGAUACGUGUAUCAAGCUGAAUGUACGGUAAGAAUAAGGAUCGGCUAACUCCGUGCCAGCAGCCGCGGUAAUACGGAGGAUCCAAGCGUUAUCCGGAUUUAUUGGGUUUAAAGGGUGCGUAGGUGGCCUGUUAAGUCAGGGGUGAAAGACGGUAGCUUAACUAUCGCAGUGCCUUUGAUACUGACGGGCUUGAAUACACUAGAGGUAGGCGGAAUGUGACAAGUAGCGGUGAAAUGCAUAGAUAUGUCACAGAACACCAAUUGCGAAGGCAGCUUACUAUGGUGUCAUUGACACUGAGGCACGAAAGCGUGGGGAUCAAACA
rnacentral:rRNA from 1 species